GCCCUCCAUGGCUCAGCCGGGAAAACACCCGACUAUGGUGCGGUAAGAAAUGGGUUCGAGCCCCGGUGAAGGCA